GAAAGGGCCGGCCCCCCCUGGGACAAGAUUACUGGACAAUCCAGAAUGGCGGAAAAGCGUGGGGGAGCAAAACAGGAAUUAGAUAACCCUGGUAGGCCCACGCCGUAAACGAUGUCUACUUGGAGGGUUGUGGCCUUGAGGCCGUGGCUUUCGGAGCUAACGCGUUAAAGUAGACCGCCUGGGGAGUACCGGUCGCAAGAAUUAAAACUCAAAAUGAAUUGACGGGGGCCCGCACAAAGCGGUGGAGCAUGUGGUUUUAAUUCGAUGCAAACGCGAAGAACCUUACCUACUCUUUGACAUCCAGAGAAUCCUGCGGAGACGCGGGAGUGCCUUCGGGAACUCUGAGACAGGUGCUGCAUGGCUGUCGUCAGCUCGUGUUGUGAAAUGUUGGGUUAAGUCCCGCAACGAGCGCAACCCUUAUCCUUGUUUGCCAGCGAGUAAUGUCGGGAACUCCAGGGAGACUGCCGGUGAUAAACCGGAGGAAGGUGGGGACGACGUCAAGUCAUCAUGGCCCUUACGAGUAGGGCUACACACGUGCUACAAUGGCGCAUACAGAGGGCAGCGAACUUGCGAGAGUAAGCGAAUCCCAAAAAGUGCGUCGUAGUCCGGAUUGGAGUCUGCAACUCGACUCCAUGAAGUCGGAAUCGCUAGUAAUCGUGAAUCAGAAUGUCACGGUGAAUACGUUCCCGGGCCUUGUACACACCGCCCGUCAGCGCCAUGGGAGUGGGCUGCAA
rnacentral:rRNA from 1 species